AGAGGCACAAUGAGGAUCCAAUUUGUAGUGGUAUUCAUGAGAUUUAAAGAUCGGUGAUAUCAAAAUCAUUAGUCCUUUUCAUUCUGAGUGCCUC